rnacentral:rRNA from 1 species
UGAAUACGAGACGCUAAGGCGUCGAAGUAGUGUAUGUCAUACUUCCAAGAAAAGCUUGCACUGUCAUAAGUAAAAAAUGCCUGUACCAUAACCGACACAGGUGGGUAGGUAGAGUAUACUAAGGGGCGCGGGAUAACUCUCUCUAAGGAACUCGGCAAAAUAACUCCGUAACUUCGGGAGAAGGAGUACCUUAUUCUAUAAGGUUGCAAUAACAAGAUCCAAGCAACUGUUUAUCAAAAACACAGGUCUCCGCUAAGUCGUAAGACGAUGUAUGGGGGCUGACGCCUGCCCAGUGCCAGAAGGUUAAAGAAGUCGGUUAGCAUUAGCGAAGCUGGUAACUGAAGCCCUGGUGAACGGCGGCCGUAACGAUAACGGUCCUAAGGUAGCGAAAUUCCUUGUCGGGUAAGUUCCGACCCGCACGAAAGGCGUAAUGAUUUGGAUACUGUCUCGGAGAGGGGCUCGGUGAAAUAGACUUGUCUGUGAAGAUGCGGACUACCUGCACCAGGACAGAAAGACCCUAUGAAGCUUUACUGUAACUUGAAAUUGAAAUUGGACUUUAUUCGCGCAGUAUAGGUGGGAGGUGUUGAUUAUAAUCUUGCGGGAUUGUUGGAGCCGUCAGUGAGAUACCACUCUUGUAAUGUUAGAUUUCUAACUUUGAAUCAUUAUCUGGUCAAAGGACAGUUUCAGGCGGGCAGUUUGACUGGGGCGGUCGCCUCCCAAACGGUAACGGAGGCGUACAAAGGUUUCCUCUGAACGGGUAGAAAUCGUAUCUAGAGUGUAUAGGCAUAAGGAAGCUUGACUGUGAGACCUACAAGUCGAACAGGGACGAAAGUCGGUCUUAGUGAUCUGACGGUACUGAGUGGAAAGGCCGUCACUCAACGGAUAUAAGUUACUCUAAGGAUAACAGGCUGAUCUCCCCCAAGAGUUCACAUCGACGGGGAGGUUUGGCACCUCGAUGUCGGCUCAUCGCACCCUGGGGCGGUAGUACGUCCCAAGGGUUGGGCUGUUCGCCCAUGUAAGCGGUACGCGAGCUGGGUUCAGAACGUCGUGAGACAGUUCGGUCCAUAUCCGGUGUAGGCGUUAGAAUAUUGAGAGGAGCCUUCUUUAGUACGAGAGGACCGAGAAGGACAUACCUCUGGUGUACCAGUUAUCGUGCCAACGGUAAACGCUGGGUAGCUAUGUAUGGAGUGGAUAACCGCUGAAAGCAUCUAAGUGGGAAGCCCACCUCAAGAUAAGUA